UACGGAGGGUGCAAGCGUUGUUCGGAAUUACUGGGCGUAAAGCGCUUGUAGGCGGCCGAUUAAGUCUGGUGUGAAAGCCCGGGGCUCACCCCCGGAAGUGCGCUGGAAACUGGUCGGCUAGAGUAUGGGAGAGGAAAGUGGAAUUCCCGGUGUAGCGGUGAAAUGCGCAGAUAUCGGGAGGAACACCUAUGGCGAAGGCAGCUCGCUGGGACGGUACUGACGCUGAGACGCGAAAGCGUGGGGAGCGAACAGG
rnacentral:rRNA from 1 species